rnacentral:misc_RNA from 1 species
AAAUGAUAAAGAAAAAGAUGAUAAAAAAGAAAAUAGACAAGAAAGAAAAAGAUAUUAAAGAAGAAAAUAUAUGAGAAAAAAAAGUUGAAGAAAAAAAAGAUGAGAAAAAAAUAAUGAAGAAAAUAAAUGAAAAAGAAAAAGAUGAUGAAGAAUAACAAAAAAAAAUAUAAUAACAAAAAAAAUUUCUAAAAAUUAAUACUACAAAUUUUAUUUUAUGCCAAAGAAAAAU